rnacentral:rRNA from 1 species
AGAACUUAGCAGAGAUGCUUGGUGCCUUCGGGAACUCUGAGACAGGUGCUGCAUGGCUGUCGUCAGCUCGUGUUGUGAAAUGUUGGGUUAAGUCCCGCAACGAGCGCAACCCUUAUCCUUUGUUGCCAGCGGGUCCGGCCGGGAACUCAAAGGAGACUGCCAGUGAUAAACUGGAGGAGGGUGGGGAUGACGUCAAGUCAUCAUGGCCCUUACGAGUAGGGCUACACACGUGCUACAAUGGCGCAUACAAAGAGAAGCGACCUCGCGAGAGCAAGCGGACCUCAUAAAGUGCGUCGUAGUCCGGAUUGGAGUCUGCAACUCGACUCCAUGAAGUCGGAAUCGCUAGUAAUCGUAGAUCAGAAUGCUACGGUGAAUACGUUCCCGGGCCUUGUACACACCGCCCGUCACACCAUGGGAGUGGGUUGCAAAAGAAGUAGGUAGCUUAACCUUCGGGAGGGCGCUUACCACUUUGUGAUUCAUGACUGGGGUGAAGUCGUAACAAGGUAGGCGUAGACGU